ACAGUUUGCUGGACCUCACAGAGGUGACUGAUGCAGCAUCCCCCCGGGAGCCGGGUGAAAUCACAGACUCCAGCAGCAGCUUCUGAGAUGACUGUGGCUAACAAAUUUUUCCAGCAACACAGAGCUGAGAGGAUUGGGAUCUCAGAGAAUAAGGAGCCCUGCAUUCUUGGCUUCAUCUGCCUGGAGUGGAGUUUCCAUCAUGCUGAGCUGGAGGUGCACGGGGCCAGGGAAGGAGCAAGUCGUAGCUCAAAUGUCCCAGACUCUUACUAUUCUUAUUAAAAUUUAGUAGGUUUUCUUGAAUAAAUGUUUCUUCAUCUGCUGUAUGCCCUUAGGACAAUUCCCAGGAACAUACAUCUAUAUUGAUAUCAAUAUAAAUAUAAAUAGAUAAUUAUGUAUGUAUAACUUUAGCAGUUUUACUUGUUCUGCUGGAAAGAAGGUCUGGAAGGUUUGCAGAGCUGCUCAUGCCACCAUUCCAGAAGUUAUCCACCAGUUCAUUGCUUUUUGCUCAGUAGUAUUCCAUUGCAUGUCUAUGCCACAAUUUGUUUAUCCAUUCACCUGUUGAUGGACAUUUGAGCUGUUUCCUGUUUGAGGCUAUUACAAAUAAAGCUGCUUUACAAA
rnacentral:lncRNA from 1 species